rnacentral:rRNA from 1 species
CCUACGGGAGGCAGCAGUGAGGAAUAUUGGUCAAUGGACGCAAGUCUGAACCAGCCAUGCCGCGUGCAGGAAGACGGCUCUAUGAGUUGUAAAUGCUUUUGUACGAGGGUAAACGCAGAUACGCGUAUCUGUCUUAAAGUAUCGUACGGAUAAGGAUCGGCUAACUCCGUGCCAGUAGCCGCGGUAAUACGGAGGAUUCAAGCGUUAUCCGGAUUUAUUGGGUUUAAAGGGGGCGUAGGCGGGCGGAUAAGUUAGAGGUGAAAUCCCGAGGCUCAACUUCGGAAUUUCCUCUGAUACUGUUCGGCUAGAGAGUAGUUGCGGUAGGCGGAAUGUAUGGUGUAGCGGUGAAAUGCUUAGAGAUCAUACAGAACACCGAUUGCGAAGGCAGCUUACCAAGCUACUUCUGACGUUGAGGCACGAAAGCGUGGGGAGCAAACAGGAUUAGAUACCCGGGUAGUC